rnacentral:tRNA from 1 species
ACUUAGGUAGUUUAAUAUAAGACUUUGAUUUGUGGUGUCAAUGAUGUGGGUUUUCUCACCUUAGGUC